CAUGGGGUGAAAGUUGACAUGGCAAGGCAGAUGGAUGUGGGAAGAGAGAGGAAGUUGGAACAGGAUAAGGAGAGAGGCGUGAGUGUGUGAGACGGCUCAGGGCAGUUAAGAUUCUACUCUCGGCCCAGGGCACAAACUCUGACACUGCCAGGCACAAAAACUGCUGGGACAUUGAAGGCCAGGGAGACAGUGCCCACUCAGGGGGCAGCGGACAGACUCUUACCCAACAGCAUGGCCCCCUCAGAGCUGGCAAAACCCCAAGAAGGGGCAGGAAGGCCCCGUCCCAGAGGCUGCCAUUCUACUAGCAUAGCCGUGGCCUGUGUGCCUGCUCAGGGCAAUGCUGAGAUCUUUAAUUUUUCUUCACAGAGAUUAAUCCCCAGAGGAAGCAGCUUGCCAGUGAAUGACAGCUUUUGUUUGCUCAUGUUUUCCUCUCCUCCCAGAGUCAACUUUCAGAAUAUACCAGGAUGUUCCCUCUCACUUGACUUUCUUUUCUUUUCUUUUCUUUUCUUUUUUUUUACUGGAGGAGAGGGGAGGCUCCACAGCAUAUUAUCCAAAGGCGAGGCAGAUGGUUCUUUGUCCAAUAGUGAGAGAGGGGAGAGAGGGGCCAUUGGUCUUCUCUUUUUGUGUUUUACGUUUUUACUUCUCAUGUUGAGAUGUUGUAACGGCACUUCAUACCUCCUCGGCCGCUGUUGUCUUCACAAUGCACAGAACAUGUUCCAUGUCAUGUCAUCUUGCUCUUCCCACACAACUCUUCUGUGGGGCAAUACUGGUUUUGGAAUUGCCAUUUUAGAAGUGAGCAAACAAGACUCAGAUCAAGUGACCCAGCUCAAGUCUCAUGGGCAGGAAGUGGACAAACCAAGGUCUGAACCAAACAGCUCCAGCCUGAAUGAGAAGCACGUCCUCCUGGGAGUUACGUCAGCAGCCUGACCUUCCAUCUUCCUCCUCUAAAGAAGCGUCCCUGCCACCCUGAGCACGAAGCCCUCGGGUUCCUAAAGGCCGAGGCGCUUCUUCUCAUUUACUUCCCUUGAGGAAGAAAGACCAGCCCAUCCACCCUCAUUUCCCACCGAAGGGCAUCGCAAAUAAAGUUUGC
rnacentral:lncRNA from 1 species